rnacentral:rRNA from 1 species
UAGGGAAUCUUCCGCAAUGGGCGAAAGCCUGACGGAGCAACGCCGCGUGAGUGAUGAAGGUCUUCGGAUCGUAAAACUCUGUUAUUAGGGAAGAACAAAUGUGUAAGUAACUAUGCACGUCUUGACGGUACCUAAUCAGAAAGCCACGGCUAACUACGUGCCAGCAGCCGCGGUAAUACGUAGGUGGCAAGCGUUAUCCGGAAUUAUUGGGCGUAAAGCGCGCGUAGGCGGUUUUUUAAGUCUGAUGUGAAAGCCCACGGCUCAACCGUGGAGGGUCAUUGGAAACUGGAAAACUUGAGUGCAGAAGAGGAAAGGGGAAUUCCAUGUGUAGCGGUGAAAUGCGCAGAGAUAUGGAGGAACACAAGUGGCGAAGGCGACUUUCUGGUCUGUAACUGACGCUGAUGUGCGAAAGCGUGGGGAUCAAACAGG